UGGGGAAUAUUGCACAAUGGGGGGAACCCUGAUGCAGCAACGCCGCGUGAAUGACGAAGGCUUUCGGGUCGUAAAGUUCUUUGAUGGGGGAUGACAAUGACAGUACCCCAAAAACAAGCCACGGCUAACUACGUGCCAGCAGCCGCGGUAAUACGUAGGUGGCGAGCGUUGUCCGGAUUUACUGGGCGUAAAGGAUGCGUAGGUGGAAACUUAAGUGGGAUGUGAAAUCCCCGGGCUCAACCCGGGAACUGCAUUCCAAACUGGGUUACUUGAGUGCAGGAGAGGAAAGCGGAAUUCCUAGUGUAGCGGUGAAAUGCGUAGAUAUUAGGAGGAACACCAGUGGCGAAGGCGGCUUUCUGGACUGUAACUGACACUGAGGCAUGAAAGCGUGGGGAGCAAACAGG
rnacentral:rRNA from 2 species